rfam:Barnesiella viscericola DSM 18177, complete genome.
GUUGUGAUUCGCUCUCAAAUUUGUAUCUUUGACUUAUUAAAUACAGC